rnacentral:rRNA from 1 species
AUGAUGCCAUCACUUAAGGUAGAUUUGAAAAAUUAUUUGCUUGGACAUGAUCAUACACACCCUGUUAGUGGCAUUACUCUCAUUUGUGAUGAUCACAAUUACUUUCCUCGUGCUAGUUCUAUUCUUAAUGAAACAUAUCAUUCCCAUGCUAGUGUUGAGCUUAAUGAUGAAUAUCAUCCUCAUGUUAGUGUUGACCUUGCUGAUUUCUACCAUCCUAAACAUGUGCUUUAUAGCUAUGCUUAUGUAAUUGGAUACUCGAUUGAUGACUUCGAGGGUAUUAUCCCUACCGCUUGCAUUGUCUCUUUUGUGGAGUGUUUUUUCAGGUUGUUGCUUCUGCACCGUUCACUUCAUGCUGACCAGGUUUGA